GUGGGGAAUAUUGGACAAUGGGCGAAAGCCUGAUCCAGCCAUGCCGCGUGUGUGAAGAAGGUCUUCGGAUUGUAAAGCACUUUAAGUUGGGAGGAAGGGCAGUAAGUUAAUACCUUGCUGUUUUGACGUUACCGACAGAAUAAGCACCGGCUAACUUCGUGCCAGCAGCCGCGGUAAUACGAAGGGUGCAAGCGUUAAUCGGAAUUACUGGGCGUAAAGCGCGCGUAGGUGGUUUUGUAAGUUGGAGGUGAAAUCCCCGGGCUCAACCUGGGACAUGCCUCCAAAACUGCAUGACUAGAGUACGGUAGAGGGUAGUGGAAUUUCCUGUGUAGCGGUGAAAUGCGUAGAUAUAGGAAGGAACACCAGUGGCGAAGGCGACUACCUGGACUGAUACUGACACUGAGGUGCGAAAGCGUGGGGAGCAAACAGGAUUAGAAACCCCUGUAGUCC
rnacentral:rRNA from 1 species